rnacentral:misc_RNA from 1 species
CUGACAGGAGAUGCAGAGGGUGUUCUGUAUCUUCGAGCAAAUGAAUAACGCUCACUAAAACCACGCCCCCUUCUGAUGCGCUUAGGAGAACCUUCUGGAGAAACACUUCUUGAUGCACUUCUCCCUCUAUCAGAAGCCGGUGACCUUGGCCUUCGGACAGGAGUAAGACUCCUAGAGUAGCUCCUUCGAUUCCUAGCUGGUGCCCGAGGACUUCGACUGAUACUCCUCCUAGAAGGUGCCCUACCUGAGCUCCUGCUCAAACUCUGACGAGAGGACCUCACUGGACUUCUGCUUACGCUUCUGGAAACUCUUGCAGGACUCCUACUAAUUGAUUUUCUAGAGGCUCUUCUAGG